AGUUCAUAAUUUGACAUUUUAUUGUGGAAAAAACAAGUCAAUCCACCUUCAAAUCCAAGAGGGUGUAGAAUUAUUCUAAAACAUUCGAUCAUUAGUGGAAACAUCAAAAUAACAAUGUAGAACACUCGUACAUCGUUUACGUAGAGUUUUACAUACCUACUAUUACGCUAAGAAUGCAGAAUCAAGACUGCUAACCCUUCCGCUAGAGACGAAGAUGAAUCCUCUAGAAUGGGCCUACAAUGCGGAUCACGAUUCAAUUUAAGUUAAAAUGCAAAGCUGAAAUAAAUACAACUGUCCCGAAGAUAUUUUCUGCGAGUUACUA